AGUAAUCUGAUUAGUACCAACAACUAGCCACAAACCCAAGAUCAAGUAGCUCCAGUAAUCUGAUUACUACUGAUAAAUAGCCACAACCCCAAGAUCAAGUAGCUCCAGUAAUCUGAUUACUACUGAUAAAUAGCCACAACCCCAAGAUCAAGUAGGUCCAGUAAUCUGAUUACUUACCAGACAGAACACUCCCAAUCCGAUGCUUUCCAUAGCAACACCACUCAGUUCUCAGACCAGUUAGCAACCAGUUGGCAGACCAGCAAGCAACCAGUUAGACGAGUUAGUAGAUCAGUUAUCAACCAGCUAGCAGAUCAGUUAGCAAACCAGUUAGCAGACCAGCAAGCAGACCAGUUAGCAACCAGUUAGUAAAUCAGUUAGCGACCAGCUAGCAGAACCACCUCCUGGUUGUGGUUCCUGUGGACAGACCAAAUCUUCUAACUGAACUGUUUCU